GACGAACGCUGGCGGCGUGCUUAACACAUGCAAGUCGAACGGUGAACCUCUUCGGAGGGUAUCAGUGGCGAACGGGUGAGUAACACGUGGGCAACCUGCCCCCGGCUCUGGGAUAACUCCAAGAAAUUGGGGCUAAUACCGGAUGUUCACCGCUUCCCGCAUGGGUGGUGGUGGAAAGGGUUUCCGGCUGGGGAUGGGCCCGCGGCCUAUCAGCUUGUUGGUGGGGUAGUGGCCUACCAAGGCGACGACGGGUAGCCGGCCUGAGAGGGUGACCGGCCACACUGGGACUAAGACACGGAGCAGACGGCUACGGGAGGCAGAAGUGGGGAAUAUUGCGCAAUGGGCGGAAGCCUGACGCAGAGACGCCGCGUGGGGGAUGACGGCCUUCGGGUUGUAAACCUCUUUAAGCAGGGACGAAGCGCAAGUGACGGUACCUGCAGAAGAAGCACCGGCCAACUACGUG
rnacentral:rRNA from 1 species